rnacentral:rRNA from 1 species
CCUACGGGUGGCAGCAGUGAGGAAUAUUGGUCAAUGGACGAGAGUCUGACCCAGCCAAGUCGCGUGAAGGAUGACUGCCCUCUGGGUUGUAAACUUCUUUUAUAUGGGAGUAAGCUGUUUCACGUGUGGGAUAUUGUAUGUACCAUAUGUAUAAGGAUAGGCUAACUCAGUUCCGUCAGCCGCGGUAAUACGGAGCGUCCGAGCGUUAACCGGAUUUGCUGGGUUUAAAGGGAGCGUAGGUGGAUUGUUAAGUCAGUUGUGAAAGGUUGCGGCUCAACCGUAAAAUUGCAGUUGAAACUGGCAAUCUUGAGUACCUUAGAGGUGGGUGGAAUUCGAGGUGUAGCGGUGAAAUGCUUAGAUAUCACGAAGAACUCCGAUGGCGAAGGCAGUUCACUGGACUACAACUGACACUGAGGCUCGAAAGUGUGGGUAUCAAACAGGAUUAGAUACCCCUGUAGUC